rnacentral:lncRNA from 1 species
CGGGAUACCCAGAACAGGAAAAUUCUGACAGGAAAUAACUUUAUGCCCACGUUAUCUUGCAGACUGCGACGAGUGCCUAAAGAGCACUGAAAAAAAUAUGAAGGUAGAUUUUACCAUCUCUGACAUAGUGAUACGAAUAUGGUAAUAAACACCAGACUCUAUGGUGGCAUUUACCAUACUAUGAUAAGAAUCACCAGAGUUCUGGUGAAUACUACUAGAAUUCUGGUUAUUUCCACUAAAUAGUAUCACUGUGUAAAAAAUCAAGUAGACUCAUAGUAAAUGUUACCAUACUUUUUUUCAGUGAGCUAUACAGCGAGUCAUGUAAUUCCGCCUGUGUCUGUCGGAGGACGAAAUUUGGCGAAGCUGAAGGAUGGGUGUCACGUUAACACGGUGGCGAUCGCAACUAAACUGCAUCGUGCUCAGGUGGUCGAUCCUGAACCUCCUGUCAUCCAUGUCGGCCGAGCUUACUUUCGAUAAAGACGAGAACGCCACGCUGGUUCCGUACCCACUCACGACGCAGAAAAUUGUCACCGUCCUGCCCGAGGUGGUAAAGACUACCACUGAUGGGGGCUUCAACGAGGGAGCAGAUGUCAAAAACGGCACCGUGAAGCUCAAGAGGUUGUCACAGAAGCGCCUCGAUGAAGAGAUCCAAACUCGCGUUGCCGAUGGGAAAGGUGGAAAAAACCCGAGGAAGAACCUGAAGAUCAUGCGAACAAAUUCGACGCUACCAACCCUGCAGCGUUUGACGGCGGCGACGGUAGCGCGGCGGCGCGGACACAAGAAGAAACAUUCGCAGAGGGGCAAUUUGGUCAACUUCGUGCAGACGACCAAAGAACUCACUCUCUCCGGCGAGAAUGAGUCUGAGUCACGGAGCUACAACUACGACCCUACUUACCCCGUCUACAACUACCAGGCUCCAACCGAGUCUGGUGAGGACAUCAUGUCUAACUUUGGCAUGGUCAAGGACAUGUGGGGUGGUUAUCCUGAAAGUGAUUUCCAGAGUCCGACAUUUCCAUCAUUGACGACAACUUACGCUCCGAAAAUGGUGCACAGCUCAUCGCCUCCUAUCCCAGAUUACUCGUUUCCGGAUUGGAAACCACCUUUUCUGAAUCCGCCGCGAUUCCGAAGACCUAUGGGUCUAGAGGAGCCUCCUGUUUAUGUGGACUACGUUGACGACACUCGAGUUAUAAAUCUUGAUGGUCUAGGCCGGUAUUGGCCCCCCGGGCACCCGCCAAUCCUCAUCCGGACGGGCUAUCAUAGGUACCAAGACGAAGAUUCGAUCGAGUACCACCAGUUCCGGGACCACGAGGAGCAUCACGGAGGUUGGAUCUCUCAAAACUGGCCAUGA